GACAACAAUUCACAAUGUGGACACUUGUUGUUAUCACGAUGGUCAUGUGGGGCGUUGAUACCAAGGGAAUCAAACUUUACCUCUCAGAUGAGAUGAAGUCCAUGUUAGAGAAAUCUGACUGGGACCACCAGGACACAGCAUUGUCCAUUCACGGUCCAAUGACACUGGACGUCCAGUCAAGCUUUAAACUGAAGAAGGGACACAUCUUCCUAAACAUGCUAAAAUCAGGAGUCAACAGAAAAUACAGGGACUGUGCUGACAUAAAGAAACAGCGGCCGUCGAGUAGAGAUGGAGUGUACACAAUUUACCCAGCCCCGGGGACAAACAAGACGGUGUUCUGUGACAUGACGACUGACGGUGGGGGAUGGACGGUAAUUCAAAGGAGAAUAGAUGGGAAAACAGACUUCUACAGAAAAUGGAAAGAAUACAAAAACGGGUUUGGUCAUGCUGAUCAUGAGUACUGGUUGGGAAAUGACGCCAUUCAUGCAUUGACAAACAAAAAAAAACCAAAUUCUGAGAAUUGACUUGGUGAAAUUUUCUGGAGAGAGAGCUCAUGCAGUUUAUUCGUCAUUUUUUGUUAAUGACGAGGCUAACAAGUACAAACUGACGCUUGGGAGUUUUAACGGAACCAAGGGAUUGGGCGAUAGUUUGACGGCCCGUAGCAACAACAUGUACUUCUCUACUAAAGAUAAAGAUAAUUCCGCGGGGUGUGCAGUGCUCUAUAAAACAGCAGGGUGGUUCAAUGCUUGUUUUUAUACCAAUCUGAACGGACCGUACCAAAAAAACUCACGUAAGAAUGGAAAGGAAUUAACUUGGUACCACUGGGGAUCCACAUGGAGAUCGCUGAAGUCGGCUAAAAUGAUGAUACGACCAAUGUAAACAAUUGAAAAACGUUGAAUAAUUAAAAUAUACAAAUCUC
rnacentral:misc_RNA from 1 species